UACAGAGGCCCCAAGCGUUACUGAGAAUCACUGGGUUUAAAGGGUGCGUAGGUGGUCCGUUAAGUUCGUUGUGAAAGCCCUGGGCUCAACCCAGGAACUGCUUCGAAUACUGGCGGACUUGAGGCUAGUAGAGGUCACUGGAACUGACGGUGGAGCGGUGAAAUGCGUAGAUAUCGGGAGGAACACCUGUGGCGAAAGCGGCUCACUGGACCACAACUGACGCUGAGGCGCGAAAGCUAGGGGAGCAAACAGG
rnacentral:rRNA from 1 species